GUUUCUGAUUGCAUCGCCUUCGCUAAUUGACGUGUUGUUCACGAAAACGCUGAUCUUAUUUUAACAAGAGAGGGGCAAUUACACAUAAAAAAACUUAAAAUGGUACUUUUGGUUCUAGAAGGGUGUAUAAUGGCGCAAAUUGAGGUUCAUCAUCAGCUGGCUGCUGUUGCGGCGCCGAUGCCUAGAGACAGUGGAGUGGCGGCAGCGACGAAUGAUGGCGGUGUCCCGUUCAUGCCUACGUCUCUGUAUGAUGGAGAUCUUGAUCUUAAUGCAUACGUCUCUGAUCUUGAAUUUAUUUUUGAAAUUUGAAGUGAAUUUAUUUGUCCUAUAUUAGUUAGAUUAUCAAUUACGAUUGUAGAUAUUGUAAAACUUAAAGAUUUAUUAUUAACAAAUCUUGUAUUUGUUUGGAUGAUUUA